rnacentral:rRNA from 1 species
CAGCCGCCGCGGUAAUACGUAGGGUGCAAGCGUUAAUCGGAAUUACUGGGCGUAAAGCGUGCGCAGGCGGUUUGUUAAGACAGAUGUGAAAUCCCCGGGCUCAACCUGGGAACUGCAUUUGUGACUGGCAAGCUAGAGUAUGGCAGAGGGGGGUGGAAUUCCGCGUGUAGCAGUGAAAUGCGUAGAUAUGCGGAGGAACACCGAUGGCGAAGGCAGCCCCCUGGGCCAAUACUGACGCUCAUGCACGAAAGCGUGGGGAGCAAACAGGAUUAGAUACCCGUGUAGUCCCUGUCUCUUAUAA